rnacentral:siRNA from 1 species
AAAUUCGAGUGGGUUUUCCAG